rnacentral:misc_RNA from 1 species
GUGAGUCAUCGAAUCUUUGAACGCACAUUGCGCCCAUUAGUAUUCUAGUGGGCAUGCCUGUUUGAGCGUCAUUUCAACCCUUAAGCUUAGCUUAGUAUUGGGAAUCUGCCUAAAACGCAGCUCCUUAAAUCUAGUUGGCAGAGCACAUCUGUACUCUGAGCGUAGUAAUUUAUUAUCUCGCUUUUUGAAGACAGUUGUACGAUCGCCACAAACUGUACUUUGUACAAAUUUUUUAAUGGUUGACCUCAGAUCAGGUAGGAAUACCCGCUGAACUUAAGCAUAUCAAUAAGCGGAGGA